UACAGAGGGUGCGAGCGUUAAUCGGAAUUACUGGGCGUAAAGCGUGCGUAGUCGGUUAUCUAAGUCAGGUGUGAAAUCCCCGGGCUCAACCUGGGAAUUGCAUUUGAUACUGGAUAGCUAGAGUUCGGCAGAGGGAAGUGGAAUUUCUGGUGUAGCGGUGAAAUGCGUAGAUAUCAGAAGGAACAUCAGUGGCGAAAGCGACUUCCUGGACCAGAACUGACGAUCAGGCACGAAAGCGUGGGGAGCAAACAGG
rnacentral:rRNA from 1 species